rnacentral:rRNA from 1 species
GACGUAGGAUGCAAGCGUUGUCCGGAUUUAUUGGGCGUAAAGAGCUCGUAGGCGGCUUGUCGCGUCAACUGUGAAAACCCGUGGCUCAACCAUGUGGUCUGCAGUCGAUACGGGCAGGCUAGAAUUCGGUAGGGGAGACUGGAAUUCCUGGUGUAGCGGUGAAAUGCGCAGAUAUCAGGAGGAACACCGGUGGCGAAGGCGGGUCUCUGGGCCGAUAUUGACGCUGAGGAGCGAAAGCGUGGGGAGCGAACAGG